rnacentral:tRNA from 1 species
GAUGAGAUGGCUGAAUUAGGCGAUAAACUGUAAAUUUAUUUAUGAAAUUUUAUUUCUCYCAUCA